UACGUAGGGGGCAAGCGUUGUCCGGAAUCAUUGGGCGUAAAGAGCGUGUAGGCGGCCAGAUAAGUCCGCUGUGAAAACUCGAGGCUCAACUUCGAGCUGUCGGCGGAAACUAUCUGGCUAGAGUCCGGAAGAGGAGAGUGGAAUUCCUGGUGUAGCGGUGAAAUGCGCAGAUAUCAGGAAGAACACCUAUGGCGAAGGCAGCUCUCUGGGACGGUACUGACGCUGAGACGCGAAAGCGUGGGGAGCGAACAGG
rnacentral:rRNA from 1 species